ACUAAAAUAAAAAACUAAGUAACUCCGCCAGAGUGUCUCUUUUGGGUCACUUUUGCCAGUCCCAAGCCCGGAUAAAGCAGGAGGAUUGAAAUUGUGACAUAAAAAAAACAAGAAUCGACUGAAGAAAGUUCAUUUGUAGUUCUAAACAUAUUUAGGGUGUUUUUUACACACAUUUUGUCUUUCCCACGAUGUUAUUCCUCUCACCUACAGCGUCCAUCACAAUUGCAUGCACAUGGCCAAAUAUGCAAAUUAGGUAAUGACGUCAUUUAGCAACUUCUAGCAACUUUUAGGACAGCCAAUAGCUACUUUCCUUACUGAGGAGUUGGCAACACUGCUCUUUCAUCCCGCGAUUAUUGUGUUUUCAGCUACCGGUAGCUUGUGGGUGCUUUAUAUGCGCUACAGUCAAUUAUCAUUGCAUGUCUAAUUAUAUUAACUAUAUAAUUCUUAAUAUACGCCUACUGUAUGAUAGCUAGCAAAUUAAUUAGCUAACUAACGUUAGCCUGCCUAGAUGGAACUUCUGAAGAAGGAAAAUGUUUUAUUUCUACAAUUUCCAAAAGCUAACCAAACAAAAACAGAAUUACUUUUACGACACGUGUUUAUGCCAUCGUGUGCAUUAGUAGCACAAUUUCUAUCCUUUUUACAUUCGUUUUUACAUACACUUGUAUGUUGACUUCUCCAUUAUGGGGAGUUUCAGGCCCCAGGGUGAACAUAGUUGUACACUCGCAAACUCGACUGAACGAGGGCUGACGGGCUUACGUUGCAAACUUCCCUUGCUUGGCUAAUCAUUUGGACCGCCCGCCAAGAUGAUGACGGGAAUUCCCCAAGGGCAUAAGGCAAGGCACACCCUCUUGAGUUCUAUGAGGAGGUGGCUGAGACUCUGGACAAGAUUGCUCAGUGGUCUCACAGUAUGAAGAGACCCCAAAGGUCCAGCCACGACCCCUGCUACCACCCCGGUCAGUCCUCCCCCUGAAAGAAGAAAUGGUGUGCCAGCUCGUCCAGGUACUGUCUAUGGAAGGGGAAGCCAUCAACUACAAGGAAAGUAUCGUUCAGUUUGCUAGAGAUUUUGGAGUACGACUGACAACCCUACACCGUCAAGGCAGCUCGGGAAAUCCUCACUACUUCCUUUGAAUGGUGAACACAGGAAUACUGUAUGAACUCUAAUCUAGGACUAAGGCCUGGAGUUGUUUCCGAUCAGGUCAGGUAGAACUCAGGGCCCUUCCUAUGACCUCAGUCUCUCCUGUGAUGAGAGACGGAGAAGGCAUUAUCUUUUUAUAACACUACGACACGUGAAUUGUCACAAUUGUAUUUGUCUGAAAAUCAUGUGUACUUAUACAAUAAUUUUUUUAUCAAAGUUUUUCUAUAGACAUGUUUUACAAAGAACUGUACAGUGUAGUCAUCGGUUUGGUUUGGGUUUCAUUACUUGGUGUUAUGACUGCAGAUCAUAAUUAAAUAGCAUACUUUCAUAGUCCA